rnacentral:rRNA from 1 species
UACGAAGGGUGCUAGCGUUGUUCGGAAUCAUUGGGCGUAAAGCGUAUGUAGGCGGUUUGGCAAGUCAGUUGUGAAAGCCCUAGGCUUAACCUAGGAAUUGCAACCGAAACUGCCUUUCUUGAAUUUGGUGGGGGAUAGUGGAAUUCUUAGUGUAGGGGUGAAAUCCGUAGAUAUUAAGAGGAACACCGGCGGCGAAAGCGACUAUCUACGCCAAUAUUGACGCUGAGAUACGAAAGCGUGGGGAGCAAACAGG